UACGUAGGGGGCAAGCGUUAUCCGGAUUUACUGGGUGUAAAGGGAGCGUAGACGGCGAUGCAAGUCUGAAGUGAAAGCCCGGGGCUCAACCCCGGGACUGCUUUGGAAACUGUAUGGCUGGAGUGCUGGAGAGGCAAGCGGAAUUCCUAGUGUAGCGGUGAAAUGCGUAGAUAUUAGGAAGAACACCAGUGGCGAAAGCGGCUCUCUGGCCUGUAACUGACACUGAGGCUCGAAAGCGUGGGGAGCAAACAGG
rnacentral:rRNA from 1 species